AAUCAUAAUGGAUGUACGUCGAGUUUGGAUUCUUGCUUGGGAGUGCCCGAAAACACAUUGGGUUCGUAAUUUCUAGCAUUUAAUUGGAUUGAGUCUAUUUUAUUUUGGUCACAUUGAGUCCUUUUAUUUUGGGUUUAUUUGAGUUCUUAUUUUGGGUUUGCAAUUUGCUGAUUUAUGUUUGCAAUUGAAUGCCAAGUGGCAUCAAAAGA
rnacentral:lncRNA from 1 species